GAUGAACGCUAGCGGCAGGCUUAAUACAUGCAAGUCGUGGGGCAGCAUGAGUAGCAAUACUUGAUGGCGACCGGCAAACGGGUGAGGAACACGUACACAACCUUCCUUCAAGCGGGGAAUAGCCCAGAGAAAUUUGGAUUAAUACCCCAUAAUAUAUUUGAUAAGGCAUCUUAUUAAUAUUAAAGCUUCGGCACUUGAUGAUGGGUGUGCGGCUGAUUAGAUAGUUGGCGGGGUAACGGCCCACCAAGUCUACGAUCAGUAGCUGAUGUGAGAGCAUGAUCAGCCACACGGGCACUGAGACACGGGCCCGACUCCUACGGGAGGCAGCAGUAAGGAAUAUUGGACAAUGGACGAAAGUCUGAUCCAGCCAUGCCGCGUGAAGGAUAAGGUCCUCUGGAUUGUAAACUCUUUUAUAUGGGACGAAAAAGGGCAUUCUUGUUCACUUGACGGUACCAUAUGAAUAAGCACCGGCUAACUCCGUGCCAGCA
rnacentral:rRNA from 1 species